UAUUGUUUGGGGAUGAGCCCGCGUACCAUUAGCUUGUUGGUAGGGUAAUGGCCUACCAAGGCUACGAUGGUUAGCUGGUCUGAGAGGAUGAUCAGCCACACUGGAACUGACACACGGUCCAGACUCCUACGGGAGGCAGCAGUGAGGAAUUUUGCGCAAUGGGGGAAACCCUGACGCAGCAACGCCGCGUGAGUGAUGAAGGCUUUCGGGUCGUAAAGCUCUGUCAAGUGGGAAGAACCCAUAUGGUGUUAAUAUCGCCAUAUGCUGACGGUACCACCGAAGGAAGCACCGGCUAACCCCGUGCCAGCAGCCGCGGUAAUACGGGGGGUGCGAGCGUUAUUCGGAAUUACUGGGCGUAAAGAGCGCGUANGCGGUCUCUUAAGUCANGUGUGAAAGCCCGGGGCUCAACCCCGGAAGUGCACUUGAAACUUAAGAAACUUGAGUAUGGGAGGAGGGAAGUGGAAUUCCCUGGUGUA
rnacentral:rRNA from 1 species